UCAGACGAUGCGUCAUGCAUAUCAAUAAGCGGAGGAAAAGAAACUAACAAGGAUUCCCCUAGUAACGGCGAGUGAAGCGGGAAGAGCUCAAAUUUGAAAUCUUAAAGGGUUUCCCUUUACGAAUUGUAGUUUAAAGAAGUGUUUUCUGUUGAGGUUUUGGUAAAAGUUCUUUGGAAUAGGACAUCAUAGAGGGUGAGAAUCCCGUAUUUGACCUUUACUUUCAACUUUGUGAUACACUUUCAAAGAGUCGGAUUGUUUAGGGAAUGCAGUCCGAAAUGGGUGGUAAAUUUCAUCUAAAGCUAAAUAUUGGCGAGAGACCGAUAGCGAACAAGUACCGUGAGGGAAAGAUGAAAAGAACUUUGAAAAGAGAGUUAAACAGUACGUGAAAUUGUCAAAAGGGAAGCGUUUGACACCAGUGUUGUUUUUCUGAAAAUCAAUUAAAGAACUGUUUAUGCUAAGCUGUUUAGACUUUAUCAGCUAUCUGUUUAGUUUUGAGCUUUUCUUUAAUGCACUUUUCAGUUAACAAGUCAACAUCAAUUUCUUUUGCUGUAAAAAAGCUUGAGGAAGGUGGCUUGAGAUUCGUCUUAAGUGUUUAUAGCCUCUUGCCUAUGCAGUCGGAGAGAUUGAGGUCUGCAGCGUAGAUCCUUCGGGGCUAAAUGCAUUUGUGCUAAGUUAUAACAUUUUAUAGACAACUUGUUGACUAUGAUUUGUCUUGUAGCUUACUCGCUUAUGUUAUUUUACCUACGCUUAGGAUGUUGAAGAUGUACACAUCAU
rnacentral:rRNA from 1 species